CCCAAUGUGGUGUAGUGGUUUAAGCAUUAGACUAGGACUCUGAAAACCAGGGUUCGAAUCCUGGCUCAGCCA